UCCCGCUGGAUGCAGGACAGAAAGAGAGAGAAGAGAAAAAAAAAUACCAUGUUGGUUAAAAUCAGUACAUGGAGAGAGGCCCCUUCAUGCUGCUCCCGGGCUAGUGAGGACCUUUCAGAGAGGAGAGUCACAGUGCCGAUCACAGAAUGGUGUCAGUAUCCGUCUCACCCAGUAACCCCCCAGGCCAGUGCGGGUGGUUUCAGUCUGGACUCCGCGGAGGAAGGGCAGAUGGAAGUACUUGGCAAAGAUCAGCAGUAGCAACCCUUGCAUCCGCUGGGAGGUCACCUGAGCGACAGACAGGAGUCUGUGGCCCAGCUCUCCCACUACUUUACACGAAGCACUGCACAUUAAGGAGGCCAUAGCUUGUGGUCUACCCUCGCUGUGGCAACAAACCACUUUGAAGAGGAAACGUGAUGUACACACUGCAGGCAUUUGAUGGUCAGACCAUUUUUUUCUCCAAGCCCUCCACCGUCAUUAAGCAUUUGCUUCUGGUUAUGCAUAAUGACAUGCAGAUUUUGACAUUUGUGCGCCACUGUUAUAUGUUUUUUUUUUUACUGUACAAAAGGGGGCAUGAAUAUGACACAUGCAUUUGUUAUGUGGAACAAGAUGAGGUAUUUGCAUGCUAUGUCAAGCCCCUCACCAGAUAUUUAUGUUCAUCCCUCCCCUCCCUCUCCCUCUCCCUCUCUCCAGUGGUCCACACAUCCCAACCCCCAACUGGAGGGCAAAGAAGCAUGAUCACACUUUGCCUGAAAUGCCCAGUGGGGAGUAAUGGAGGCACACAUCUCCACGUGACAUAAGACCAUCUCGCUUGUAUACUAACUGGCUAUUUGAACAACUUUGUUGCGUAAUGGAUUGUAGUGAACCGUAAAGUGGACUGACUUUAUUUGUGGUAUGUGAGGACACAGACAAUGAGUGUGCGUGUGUGUGUGUGUGUGUGUGUGUGUGUGUGUGUGUGUAUAAAGUAUGAGAGAAUAUACCUUUGCCUGCAUGUACUGUGUUUGAAAAGCAUUUCUUAUCCACAUCAGUGAACAUUGGAAGAGCUCCUGAAGGCUGCCAUGCUACAUUUUGGCUACGAACAGCAAAGACAUUUAAUCCCAAAGACAAGUGUGUGUGUGUGUGAGUGAGAGAGAGUGUAUGUGUGCAGCGGUGUAUGUAUGACCUUGUACAGCACACACAUAACUGAACAAAUGAGCUGUGAGUAACAAGUGUGAUGUUAGCAGGGCAGCUUGGGAAUCUGGAAGAAGUCCAGUGCAAAAUAAGGCUCACUCAUUCCAGUAACUGAUGACUACAGAAACAUCAAUAUCUUCUCCCAGUGUUCAUUACACAGUUAUUAUGAUUGGACAUCAUUUGCUGGAUCUCAUUUAAAUUUAGAUUGGUAGAUUUAGAAUUAUUGACGUGUGCUUAGAAAGCGAGUCUUUUAAAUGAAGAACUUAUUUUGGUAGUUUCCUUAACUUAAGGUAGGUUCCUGUUAUUCCAGUGUCUACAAAUACGAUCUAAUCUAAAUAUUAAUCAUACAUGUUACUAAACUAUUAAACUUUACAGCUUCACAGUAUUUAAAAUGUAUCUUUCGCUGCCCCAUAGUGUUAUGAAUCAAAUGCUAAGUCAACAAAUCUUGAGAAAAGGUCAAUCCAAUAAAUCACAUUGGGUAGAAAAAGUUGAGCUGCAACACAUUCAAUAGAGCGCGCCAUGUUGCAAUUAGAGAUUAGUGCCAGAAAAAAAUGCUUUGCUAAUUUGUGCAUUAAAUUGUAGCUUACUCAAACAGGCAUGAUGGUGACGAUCAGCAACUGUGUGGUGAAUAGCCUGAAAAAACCUCUCAUUGGCUCUGUGUUUCUGCAGUGAAAGGCUGAUUUGAGUAAGCUUUCUUGUGUUUGCAGCAAUUACAGUUUGAACCUGACAAUGAGUCUUGACUGACAAGCAGACUAUCUCAGAGAGGAACGAACAGAUGGGGUGUCUUGUUACUUUGUGCCUGUCCACCAUGUCGUGACUAGACAGAUUCCUACUGACACCACCGUGUAUCUCACACUACUCAAAACAAACUCCAGCUAACACAUCCUUAACCUACUCAUGGCAUUAAUAUCCACAACAUGAAGUACACAAAAAGGUCACAUGGAGAUGAUUUUAACGAGGUUUAAACUAACGUAGCAGACUGUGAGAUAGCUGGAGGACAGCAUCAGUCUCACUGUCAGCGGCUCAUCAACACUGACAACAACGUGAUCCAAAAAUAAAACAGCAUCCUGGGAGACAUUUGUCUAGCUCUGUCAGCUCGACAGCUGAUUCACGCUCCCUGGCUCACCAUGCCAACAGAGCCAAGAUGCAGCCAGACGAACACCUACCACAGCUACAGUACACGCCCUUACAAACAUAGAAAAUGCCACCAAACCAGACAGGUCUGGAGAGAAUAAAUAUUUUUGAUGAUUAUAAUAUAUAUUAAAUGAUGAUUAAAUUAAAUUACGUUAUAUAAAUGUUUCAACCUCCCUUUGGAUAUUUUAGAUAAAUAUAGCCAUGCUUUUUCUGUCUUAUCUGAUAUACAUUUGGGAAUUUAUAUUUGAAGGUAUUUUCUACAUCCCAUUCAAUAUGUGCAUUACGUCAAACUGGGUACGUGAACGCAUUAUGAAAUAGAAAGAUAGACUAUAAGGAGCAGGUAUGAAGGCAUAAAGGCACACAGAAGGAGACCAAGAGACCCAGAGAGCUUGACUUUGCAUUAUGAGCUUGGCAGACAGAGGAAGAUAGCAGAUAUGCCGACAUUACACGGCUGUUAGAAAUUAUCACCCCAUCCGUUGCUCGGGGAACAAAAUGAGCCGAAACAGCAGCAGGAAGCAGAGAUCUCAUCAGCAAUCACAUAAUGCGUACAGUACGAAUCUAAGCUGUUUAGCAUUUUACUAUGAGCGUGUGCAUAUGUGUUGAUAAUAAAAGCCAUUACUGACCAGCACAUAACCGAAGGGGCUGAGUCUCUCCAUGCAGACCUCGCUCCACUGGUCUGUGAAGAGGACAUCUUUCAGCCUUUUGUUAAUCAUAGAGUUCACUUCCUGCAGCCUUGAAGAUAAAUGACACACACAACAACACACAUGGGUCAACAGCAGUCAGAAUUGUAAGAAGAGCUCAUGAUUGGGACCUUUGAUAAUGUAACUGUGGAUUAAUAAAUGGAAGAAAAUCAUAGCCAUAAGGAGAGAGACAUCACUGAGGUUCAGCCUGACCGCUCAUUAGUGGCAUUGUCUGCAGCGUUGAUGUGGGACAAGGGAGCAUAAAUGGACACUUGAGCUUUUAUGUGGAAGAACCUGGAUGACUACCACACCACAAAACACUCACCCGAUAAUGUACAUGUCUGUGUUUCCAUCUCCCACGUGCAGCCCCAGCAAGGAAGUGAUGUCAUCGGGCGGCGUGGCCGAACCGACAUUCCAAGUGAUGAUAUGCACCCUGUUGGAAAGAGGGUGUUAUCACAGACUCUAUAAGGGUGUUAUGUAACGUCUCUUAUCUACUACACACCUCAGUGUCAUAACCUACAGUAUCUGAGUGAGACAGCAGCACCGUUUAUUAAUAUAUACAAAUGUAUCACAUCUGUCCUGAUAAGAUCAGUUUAGUUCUCUCAAUUUCUUACCACAGUAUGUAGAAAUGUGUCAUUAAACCAUGUAGACAAUUGUAUUAUCAAGAAUCAACACAUCAAUUAAACCAUGCAAUAUUA